AAAAAAAAAAGAAAAAAGAAGAAGGAUAGGGAAAAUAAUGGCUAGUGGAAGAAAAAUUGCUAAUGAAAUGUUUUAUGUGCAUUUUUCACAAUAAAAUAAAGUGAAAUAUUAAAAUUUGAAGUUGUAGGGUCUAACAAGCCUCUAGAAAAAAAAUCAGCCGAAUUAGUAGAUUUAUAUUGAUUCACCCGAUUCAGUAGCGAAUUGUAAGAUUUGGUUAAGAUUCAGAUAUAUUUGAGAUUUGCCGUAUAGAUUUGAAUAGCCAAGACGGGGAAUCGAAUCGAAUCGAGAAUUGUAAGAUUCUACAACAAUACUAUUUUCCUAUUCUAGUUAGGAUUUUUAUUUUGUUUUUCUAUUUUGAUUAGAAUUAGAUAUAUUCUUAUUUUAUCUAGAUUUUCUAAAGUAUUUAGGUUUAUUUACAUUUCUUAGAAAGUAGAUUUAUUUUCCUAU
rnacentral:misc_RNA from 1 species